UACCAGCAGGCCUUUAUCAACUACGGUUCCCAUGACAACCAGCGUCUGAUGCUAGAGUACGGAUUUGUUGCCGCCUGCAACCCCAACAGCGUGGUCUAUGUGGAGACAGAUGUCCUCUGUGAGGUUUUAAGAGGAGACAGGAGUUUGGAUCAGAAGAUGAAGUUUCUCAGAGAAAACAAUUUUCUUCAUAAUCUCACUGUGUCCAGUGAAGGUCCAAGUUGGAGGCUGAUGACCGCCCUCAGACUGUUGUCCCUGCCACAGAC